rnacentral:rRNA from 1 species
UACCAGCACCCCGAGUGGUCGGGACGAUUAUUGGGCCUAAAGCAUCCGUAGCCGGUUCUACAAGUCUUCCGUUAAAUCCACCUGCUUAACAGAUGGGCUGCGGAGGAUACUAUGGAGCUAGGAGGCGGGAGAGGCAAGCGGUACUCGAUGGGUAGGGGUAAAAUCCGUUGAUCCAUUGAAGACCACCAGUGGCGAAGGCGGCUUGCCAGAACGCGCUCGACGGUGAGGGAUGAAAGCUGGGGGAGCAAACCGG